AUUGAACGCUGGCGGCAGGCCUAACACAUGCAAGUCGAACGGUAACAGGAAACAGCUUGCUGUUUCGCUGACGAGUGGCGGACGGGUGAGUAAUGUCUGGGAAACUGCCUGAUGGAGGGGGAUAACUACUGGAAACGGUAGCUAAUACCGCAUAACGUCGCAAGACCAAAGAGGGGGACCUUCGGGCUUCUUGCCAUCGGAUGGGCCCAGAUGGGAUUAGCUAGUAGGUGGGGUAACGGCUCACCUAGGCGACGAUCCCUAGCUGGUCUGAGAGGAUGACCAGCCACACUGGAACUGAGACACGGUCCAGACUCCUACGGGAGGCAGCAGUGGGGAAUAUUGCACAAUGGGCGCAAGCCUGAUGCAGCCAUGCCGCGUGUAUGAAGAAGGCCUUCGGGUUGUAAAGUACUUUCAGCGGGGAGGAAGGGAGUAAAGUUAAUACCUUUGCUCAUUGACGUUACCCGCAGAAGAAGCACCGGCUAACUCCGUGCCAGCAGCCGCAGUAA
rnacentral:rRNA from 1 species